AAAAAGUCUUAGCUAGAAUAUGACAGACUCUCCGAUUUAUGGAAGAAUUAGCCUUUCCAAGCACAACCUAGAAACUUUCUGAGUCUGAAAAACUUGAAAGAGGUACUGGAUGUGUAAAUUUAGACACUGGCUUCAGUGUUCCAUGGACACAUAAAUGUUUAUCCCAGACAAGAGCCAUUGUAGGAAGUAUGACAAGGUUCCUGCCACGCUCAGCUAAUCCAAGGCUGCUGGAAACUUCAGAUCACUAGAUCUCCUGAGACAGAAGCUGUCUGUGGUGCCAAGCUGCUGUUGUGGGGUUUGGACCUUGCUCAAAAGGGAGUGGUAAAGCUUUGCAGCCUUUCUGCAAGAUGUGCCUGUUACAGCCCAUCAAUCACCUAAUCACUGCCAGGAUAGACCACACUCAUGAGGCAUCGAGAGGUUUGCACUGAACUGCACCUACAGGAGCUGGGAAAGGAAGAGUGCACACAAAUAAAUGUGUUUCCAGUAAAAGAAGGAGCAAUAAUACAGGAUCUUUCUAGCUAAUGACUGAGAAAUCAAGUCAAAUGUGCUGAGCACUUAAAAUAUUUGAUUUUUCUGUCUUAUCCUCUUUAUGCGGCUACUUUUACAAAGAGCUUCCCAGGUACAGCUUAACAGUUCUUUAGUGCUUUUUAUCUUACCUAUAGCAAAUGACAGUAGAUAGACUACACUUUUAAGUAAUAGCUGAACGGCAUCCAGAUUUUGCCUAAUAAGCUCUGAAUUUGUAGUCACUGUUCUGCAGAGUUGUGCCGCGGUUCUACCCUUGUAACUCGGAAAAUACCUGUAUUGUUGUACUGAACCAGGGAGAAUCUCCAACAAAAUUACAAAUGCAGAGGAAUCUGGAAGUUUCAACCCACAUUUCUCAAGAUUUACCCUCACUCUGACAGGGUGAUUCACUGAAAACCCAUCCCAUUCCUCACAGAGCAAACAUGAUGAGAACUACCUUCCCCACCACUUUAACAUCAUUUGCCUUAGAACACGUUUUAGCUCAAAUUAUCAGCAGUGAAGGCAGAUUUCAUUAGAAACCCUCACCCUCAUAUUUAAAAGACUCAGUAGAUGCAUUUUGCAGGGGCGCUGACCCAGAACAGGGAUGGGAGAAUGAAAGGCUGAGGACUGGGAAUUAAGAAGAGGAAUGAAAAACAGGAAAGGAGAGUGGGGAAGACUUAGUUUUUACAAACAACCCUGCCAGUGUAACUAGAAAUGUCAAGAGAAGAACCAAUAUAUUGAG